rnacentral:rRNA from 1 species
AUGGACUCAAUUCUUUCUAAUGGAACUUGGGAACUAACUGAUAGACCAUAUGGUUGUAAACCUGUGGGCUGUAAGUGGGUGUUCAAAAAGAAGCUAAAGCCUGAUGGUACUAUUGAUAAGUACAAGGCGCGGCUAGUGGCCAAGGGCUACACUCAGAAAGAAGGCGAAGAUUACUUUGACACCUAUUCACCCGUUGCUAGAAUGACCACCAUUCGAGUGUUACUUUCCUUGGCUGACUCUUAUGGUCUUAUCAUUCAUCAAAUGGAUGUAAAGACAGCUUUUCUCAAUGGAGAGUUGGAAGAGGAGAUCUAUAUGGAUAAGCCUGACGGGUUUGUGGUAAAGGGUGAAGAGAGAAAGGUGUGCAAGUUGUUAAAAUCUUUGUAUGGUCUGAAACAGGCACCUAAGCAAUGGCAUGAGAAGUUUGAAAGAACUCUGACUUCUGCAGGAUUUGUCAUUAACGAGGCUGAUAGGUGUGUUUACUAUCGCCAUGGUGGGGGCAAUAGUGUCAUAUUAUGUUUGUAUGUGGACGACAUACUGAUCUUUGGUACAAACAUUAAUGCAAUUAAUGAGGGUGUAAUUCUAAACAUCAAACUUAUUAAGGAUGAGAGUGGGAUUACAUUAACGUAA